GUGGACGUGAUGGAGUGGUAUUGGGCAUGACUAGAAAUCAUGUAGGCUUUGCCCGCGCAGGUACGAAUCCUGCCGUUCACG
rnacentral:tRNA from 1 species